CUACGGAGGGGGCUAGCGUUGUUCGGAAUUACUGGGCGUAAAGCGUACGUAGGCGGAUUGUUAAGUUAGAGGUGAAAUCCCGGGGCUCAACCCCGGAACUGCCUUUAAAACUGGCAAUCUAGAGUUAUGGAGAGGUAAGUGGAAUUCCUAGUGUAGAGGUGAAAUUCGUAGAUAUUCGGAGGAACACCAGAGGCGAAGGCGGCUUACUGGACAUAUACUGACGCUGAGGUACGAAAGUGUGGGGAGCGAACGGGAUUAGAAACCCUAGUAGUCC
rnacentral:rRNA from 1 species